rnacentral:rRNA from 1 species
AUACGGAUGGUGCGAGCGUUGUUCGGAAUUACUGGGCGUAAAGGGCGCGUAGGCGGCGAUGUAAGUCAAAUGCGAAAGUCCUCGGCUUAACCGGGGAAGUGCAUCUGAAACUGCAUUGCUUGAGUAUGGGAGAGGAAAGUGGAAUUCCCGGUGUAGAGGUGAAAUUCGUAGAGAUCGGGAGGAAUACCGGUGGCGAAGGCGACUUUCUGGACCAAUACUGACGCUGAGGCGCGAAAGCGUGGGGAGCAAACAGGAUUAGAAACCCCAGUAGUCC